UGCCCUACCUUUUCAAGCUCAGUGACGCGUUGUUCAGUGAAUACUUGACAUUCUCCCUGAAGCUUGCUUGAAAAAUCCAAUUAUCCAUGUGUGCGGUACACGACAUUGGAACUUCAAAGACAUCAAAAGUAGUUGAAUAACCCCACCUCCUAUGGCCUAGAUAUACAGUUUGUUGGCCAAGCUAAGGUGAAACAUGAGUCCUGCACUGGGUAUGACUACGGGCCUCGUCCUUUACAAACAAAGACAUUGCACACCCGGGUUCCCUGUGUUUCCGAUUAAUGGCGCUACUUAUCGAACAAAUUAAAGUCGGUGACAUUAAACAACGAAAUGCAUCGUCCACUGAUAACUCUACAAAGGCUUGUCUAUCAGUUUCUACGGCUAGGAGUGGUGGAAGAGGAUAAAAUUGUGCACCUUGCGUGGCAUUGUCUAUGGGGCGCGGCAAACAGAUUACUUUAUAGAGUGUAAAACGAAAAGGAAACUAAAAAACAGAUAUCGCCCUUCUGAAUGGAUGGACUCAAGGACGAUCCUGACGGCAGGACAGAUUUAAUUUCUUUCAGGGCGGCUUGAACUUGCAGCGAGGGAAAAAGGGUAGCUGGUAGACGUUCCAUAGCCAUAGCAGCCAAACCAACGGCAAAAUUAUCCAUCACCUCUUCGAUCCAUCCCACGGCAGGCCCAAUUUGACGGAACGCAUCUCCAACUUUCGUGGUAGCAAUCCAUUGCCUUUCGAUCUCUUUCACCACCCCGUCCAUUUUGUUGUCCAUUUUCCAGACCUCUCGUUCGAUUUUUGCAAAAGCCGUCUGUAGCUCGGCUACGGCGUCGCCACUUGCCUUAGUUUCCCACAGCGUCUCGUUAAUGAGAGAAGCAUGAACUUCCAGGGCAUGCGCAAUGGAUGUUGUCUCCGUCGAAAGCUUGUUGAUCUGGCCGUUCACUUGUUCAAGAUCUUCUUGGGUAGAGACCCCAAAAAGCCAGUUAAGAAGUCGACCUCCUCCAUUCACUAGGCCACGUUUCACUCUGGACUCUUGCACACCGACGGCUGUUUUUAGUUCAUUCCAGCGCUGAUGAACCUUCCGCAAUUUCAACAAUUCUUCUUGUUCCUGUUCUUUCACAUGUUGUUGCAAUGUCUGUUUAAACUGUGACUUAACUCCGUCGUAGUGAUCUGACAUGCCAUUCACUCGAAUGUCCAUGUCUUAACAGCACAAAUUUCACUAAAAAAUCUGCCACCUCUGACACAUCUGCUGAAGGUAGAGCUCGAGUCUCCGCCCACUUGGUGACGUAAUCUACGGCUACAAUAAUACUUUUAUUCCCACUCUUGGACAGUGGAAAAGGUCCCAGAAUAUCCAUCCCCAGUCUCUCGAAUGGACGUUCACUCCUUCGAAUUUCUAUAAACCCCACUGGUCGCUGGUAGACUGGUUUUCGGGACUGGAACUCCCGACACGCCCGCACAAAAUCACGCACGUCCUCGGCCAAGGCCCACCAGUAGUAUCUACCCCUCACUUUGUCAAGAGUACAAGUAAAACCUAGGUGGCCGGCGGUAAUGUCAUAAUGGCAAGAGCGCAUUUUCUCGUUCUUAAAGGAUUGAGGCACACAUACCCUUAGUAGGAGGCCGUCAUCAACGACCUUGGUCUGGAACAGCAGACCAUCCUUAAGGCGAUACUCGCUGUAUUUCCUUCCUUUCUCCAGCCCCGCGAAGACUUGGUCCCACUCCACUUGCUGCGCCUGCUGAAACUCACUCUUACUUUCAGUGUCAAUACUGAAGGCAGCUAGAGUACAAUACAGCUGUUCGUCGAGCUCCUGCGGUGCGUCGACCGGAUAGCGGGAAAACACAUCUGCCUCCGUAUGUAGUCUUCCAUUGCGGUGUAUGAUCCGUAGUAGAAAUUCCUGAAGCUGUAGGCUCCAGCGAGCUAAACGUCCGGCUAGAUCCUUCUGGGUGAGUAGCCAACACAGAGCGUGGUGAUCGGUCACCACCAAAGUAUCCAUUCCCCAUAUGUAACUCCGAAAUUUCUUGACGGCAAAAACCAAAGCGAGACACUCUUUCUCCGUUAUCGAGUAAUUCGACUCACUUGGAGACAAGAGGCGACUCGCGUAGGCCAGGGGCCUCUCAAUGUUAUUUACGCCUUGUAGUAACACCGCUCCCAAACCGUAGUCACAGGCGUCAGGGUGUAUCUCGAACGGUCUUGUAAAAUCGGGAUAGGCCAAAGUGGCCGCACUCACUAGAGCCUGCUUCAUCAGCUCAAAGCUGACUUCUUGCGACUCUUCCCACACGAAGCAACCAUCCUUUUUAAACAUGUCCGUCAGGGUUUUGGCUGUGUGUGCAAACUGAGGAAUGAACCGGCGAUAAUACGAGCAAAGCCCCACAAAACUACGUACGCACUUCAACUGUUCACUCGGCUUACAUAGGGUGGACGGAGAAGGAAAGUUUUCAACCGCAUUAAUUUUUUCUGGGUCAGGCCUAACUCCAUCCCACUAAAGACGUGGCCCAAAGCCUUGACUUCGCUGGCCCCAAACUGACACUUCACCAACUUAAUUUUCAACCCGGCCUUCCGCAGGGCGGUCAACACUUGUCGCACCAAGUGUUCCUCCGCAUCAGCCACGUAGAUGCUGAUGUCGUCCAGGUAAACGAGGCAAAUCGUCCAUUUCAGCCCGGUUAAAACCAAAUCCAACAUGCGUUAGAACGUCCCCGGUGCGAAGGCCAACCCGAAGGGCAUAACCAGAAACUGAUAAAGCCCGUCGGGGGUGACAACCGCCGUCUUGUUUUUAUCCUCUUCGUUUAGUGUCACUUGCCAGUCCCCACUCUCCAGAUCUUGCGUCGAGAAGAUGCUAGCGUUCCCCAUCCGAGACAACGUCUCUUCGAUCCUCGGCAAAGGGUAAGCAUCCUUUACGGAUAUGGCGUUGAAGCGGCUAUAGUCGACACAAAAACGCCAACUUCCAUCCUUUUUCUUCACUAAGACCACAGGUGAUGCCCACGGGCUUGUUGAACGUUCAAUUACACUUCCGCUCAGCAUUUCGUCCACUUGUUUCUGCACAAUAGCCCUCUCUUUCCAAGCACUCUUGUAGGGAGACUGUUGUACCGGCGUGGCUGUACCAGUAUUUAUACGAUGCCUUAAUCUUGCACACCCCCAGUUCUCCCUCCUUCAAAGCAAAACUAGUGUCAAAUUCCUCAAGUAGCUCAACCAUCUUCUCCACAUCAGCAGGGGGAAGCGUCGAUGCUACUUGAGCCCGAAAAGCUUGACGAGGAAUAGAGGUCACUCUCGGCGUAGAAUCUGAGUCCCUUAUUGACUCAGCUGAGUCCUCCCCAACAUCGUCGCCCAGUGAAUCUGGCGUUUCCCCUUCAUCCACUUCGACAAUGGAGGGUUCCACAGCCUCCAUCUGCCCCAAGACGGCCCCCUCCCUUAGGUAGGCGCGCCGAUUGGUUAAGUUAACCAUCAACACUUGUCCUAACGGUUGAUCCGAAGACCCCAGCACUUUAUCCGCCGUCAGCCCCUUGGCUCGAGCCAGAUGUUCCGAAGGUUCAAUCAUCCACGUUGCUUCAUUGAGAGUCGUGGCUUCUAUCUCCACCGGAACAAUGGCUCUGGGCGGAAGCAUUCUAGCCGUCUUCGUGACCAAUCUAGGUGCUUUCACGGCCUCCAGUUCUUCGAUUACGUUCACCGGUAACGCUCCGAGCAAUAAUUUAGCGCCAUUUGGGACGUAAUUUAUUGGGAGCCGCUUGAACUGGCUCAAAAAGUCAUUGCCCAGCAGUAACUCGAUCCCUCUCAUUUCCAAUAGAAUUACUUUUCCACGGGCCUCCAUUCCUCUAUGCUCGAUUUCUAGCUCGAGGGCUCCUAGCGGGGAAGCUCUCUGGCCGUUUACCAUGACUACAGACGGUCCUUCCUAUCUCAUACGACGAGCUCCUAGUUUCUCUUGCAAGCUCGGAGACGCCACCGACAUCACCGCUCCGGUGUCAAUCACGGCCUUGAUCCUUAUUCCUCGGCACACUAACUCUUCGGUUAUCAGGCAGGAAGAUUCAAUAAGCAGUACGGCCGCCUCUCCUGAGUCGUCUUCGUCGGCCGACCCCAUGCCCACGGUAUUCCGGUCAUCUUCUUCGGAGUCCCGUCGCCUAGCCUGCCAGGUCUUUCCAUCUUCCUUGCGCCGAUCGUUUCUCCAUCUGUUCUCUCCCUCGUCUCGACGAUCACUCCGCUGAACGCCCUUCCCAUCUUCUUUCGGGGCCGUACUUUUCUGGUCUUGGCCCUUCUCCGCCCUACAGAAACGAGCAAUGUGCCCCGCUUUGGCACAAUUAUGACAGAUAGGCUUCCCAUCCAAAGUCCGAGAUGCGAACGACACAUUAUUUUGAGGUCGUUCCAAGUUUCCCCGUCCACCCUCCGGCCUGGGAGAUUUUGACACGCCUUUUAACUUGGCGGGCUCAGCUUUAAAUUCCAGCAACAGGUCUCUCAAUUCGGUCCCAGCUUCCUCCUUUGGAGGAGGUAACCCCUUCAUUGGUCCCAACACGCUCACAGCCCAUUUGGGUCGAAUAGCUAACUCCGACGCUUCCGUGUGCAGCUGCACCGCAGUCAAGAAUUCCGCUGUAGUUCUCGGGCUAGUCAUCCAUAUCUUCUCGACAAGGGUAGGCUUCAAACCACGAAACAGAUAGUGCACUUUUGCCUCUUCCAACAUCCCUGGGUCUACCCUCCGACACAAAUCGAUGACGUCGUAGAUGUAUUCCACCCCUGAUUCGUCUAUCCCCUGCUUCCGCUGUCAUAACUUUGCCUCUUGAUAGCGGCCAUAAUGUUGCGGCUGAAAGGCGCGAAGAAAUCUCGUUCGUAGUCCAUCCACCCCAGGCACAGCCACCAUCCCCGGUGCUGCUGCCACUGCCGGUGUAUCCCGCCACACCGCCGGCGCUCCCGAGCAGAGAAACCAUUUCCUAGCUUCCCCAUUCAGCUGCAUCCCAAAAUUCUCGGCCAUUUCAGCUGCUCCCCAGCGGUUAUAGAGAGCCGUACUCUUAUAACGCUCUAGCCAAUCCACUGCAUCCUCAUUCUUCCUCCCGUAGAAGAUCGGAGGAGUCCGGUACUUCAAUUGGGGGGCAGGUGGUCGUUGGGCCAUGACUACUGGUGACGCGGCCAGAGAACCCGCUGAACUGCCUGACGACUCACUCGCAAGCUCCUCUUCGUCUACCGAAUCUGCAAGUGAUGAAUCUCUCGAGGAUAUGGGUCGGCUUCUCCAACCGUGCCAAUCCGAGCCCUCCUGACUGGUGCCCUCUUCCGGCUCGGAAUUCGCUCUGAGCCCUACCGCGUCCUUUCGUAGGUCGCCGGAAUACCACUGAAGUGACUCCGUGUAGUAGGCCCCUUCUAUCCCCGCUUCCACCAAGUUGCCUACUCUCGGCCCUACUACCUAGCAGGGGUGGAUAGGUAGUGGAUCGCUCUCUUGCGCCCGCCUCUUCUCCCGAGUCGUCUGGAUCCACAACCGUCCGUUCCCCUAGACCGCUGUCUCUCGGCCUCCGCUGUUGCAAGAACCUCCGAUAAUUGCACCCCCGAUUCGCCCUCUCUCCAGAACUCCCGACCGUAUUCCCUGAUUCAGCUCCGUGGCUCGUGGCGGGGUGACUUAUCGCUAGAGAGGUUUGCGUCCCAGUACUAACACAAACUUUGGUCGUAACCUCCGGUUGAGCUUCCGUUACGUUGGCCCCCCUACGUUCCAUUACUUCGCCGUUGGGUGACGCUUCAAUCACCCUUAACCGUUUACUUUGCCGCAGUGGACCAGUACUCAUCUACACCCGAUCAUUCAGGAUCGACGAACGGGUUAAAAUAGGUCUACUGGGGGAGUAGACCUAUUAUAACCCGCAUAAAACAAGACAAGAUCCGCUCUCUUACUUGAGUUGUGGACGUUCAAACGAAUAAGAAGCUCGGCCAGGCCUGUGGUCCUAUACCCAAGCAAUUUAAGGUACCAAUACUCGCUGGUCACACCUUCCAAGCACCUCUCAACAGCACCUGCCUCCUAAUUUCUUACUCUCUCACUUCGUCCCCUAACAACUCAGAAUCAAGCCCAAUGAUCUUACCUUAUUUUACCAGGAAGGUCUACCCUGCAUCUCCACCAUGUAACGAGUUAUCGCCGAUGGGUUUGGAGAAUCAAUAUCGGUGUAUUCAAUCUUUUCAACACUCAAGCACUACACAAAGUAAACAUAACUGUUCUAUCUAACUACUGGCCACGAAGGUCUACACUACAGUCCCAUUUAUAGUCUUUCAGACGUGGGAAAGAGUCAGUCGGCGAAUCCGAUGCAUCAGCAAUCGGAUGACACUCGAAUGACACUUCCGUCGGUCGUUUGUCUAUCCGUUACAGCUAUAACGGAUGGCGAGAGUUCUCUUACAAUGAUGCGUGAACGUUACAAUAUUAUUCAUAAAAGUACAUGGCGAUGAAAAUCCAAUGGCUUGUUUUACUUUCUGCUUCACGGUUUCAUUGAUCAAGGAAGUUGCUACUUUCAUGACAUAUUGCCAAUUAACUCGAGUUAGUUUUUGUUCGUUAGCAUGUUUAGAACAAAAUCUGCACCAAGGUAUUGUAAAUCAACAUCUGGUUUUGCUAAUUCAACAUGUGUAGAAGCCCGUUCACAGUCUAAAAAAUUAAAACUUCUGCUUAAUAAACGGUUAACUUAACUUAACUUACACUAACUUACCAAUUUCAAUAGCUGAGUUGUUACAAAUAUCUGUUGCUGUCAACGUUUCAGUGACUUUGAAUUGUUCAAUCACAGGCACAUAAAAAAACUGGGGUGGAAUGUUUGUAAAUGACGAUACAAUCCACCGAAUAAUUUGAAGUUGGUCAAGUGAAGACAUUCAUUGCUAAAUAAACAAGGACUUGUGAA